GUUACUCCCACUUCUCUUGCAGGUCUCGCCUCGCCGGCAGAUAGAGCCCAGGCCAACGGUAAUGAACAGGGACUCAUCGGCACGCUCCGGCACCAGCGGCUGUUGUGUGUCGUUCAAGCUGGUCAAGUUACCAUGGAAGUAGAAGGUGGCCAUCGUGCCAUGCUGGUCGGGCAUCUCAGGUGCCACUAGAGGUGUGGUGCCAUUGCUGGAGACGUGCCCGGUGCUGUACCACACAGUGCCUCUUGUGACGAACUUUGGUAUCUGGGGGUCGGGCUUUGGCGAUGGUUGGCAAGGGCUGUGAUGUAGUACCCACCGGGUGGCGCAUCGGUAACCACGAGGGCAUCAAUAGUCUCACCGGGGGCGAUCGCGAUGAUGUCCGUGGUAUAAUGGUUGACGUAGUUUGCGUCGACGGCAACCACGCCGUGAACUUGUGCCCGGCGAUCUUGAGGUAGUACUCGGAGAAGAGAACAGCAUUGAUUAUUCGAAGCAGGUAGGUCUUUCCGGGCUAGCUCCACAUUCAGCACAUAGCCGUCUUCCUUUGCCCCUUCAUUCAGAGUAAAAAUGANNNNNNNNNNNNNNNNNNNNNNNNNNNNNNNNNNNNNNNNNNNNNNNNNNNNNNNNNNNNNNNNNNNNNNNNNNNNNNNNNNNNNNNNNNNNNNNNNNNNUGGUUCGGGCCAUCUCAGGUGCCCACAAGAGCUGUGGUGCCAUUGCGGAGACGUGCCCCGGUGCUGUACCACACAGUGCCUCUUGUGACGAACUUUGGUAUCUGGGGGUCGGGCUUUGGCGAUGGUUGGCAAGGGCCUGUGAUGUAGUACCCCACCGGGUGGCGCAUCGGUAACCACGAGGGCAUCAAAGUCUCACCGGGGGCGAUCGCGAUGAUGUCCGUGGUAUAAUGGUUGACGUAGUUUGCGUCGACGGCAACCACGCCGUGAACUUGUGCCCGGCGAUCUUGAGGUAGUACUCGGAGAAGAGAACAGCAUUGAUUAUUCGAAGCAGGUAGGUCUUUCCGGGCUAGCUCCACAUUCAGCACAUAGCCGUCUUCCUUUGCCCCUUCAUUUCAGAGUUAAAAAUGAAGGAAUUAGUCGUAUAGAAGAAAGUUUCAUUUUAUUUGUACAUCAACAAGUAUCCUAUGAAUGGUUAUCGGAGCAGUUGUAGAGAUCUCCAAACUUGCCGUUCAUUGUGGCUCCACUAGGGUUAUCAUCAAAGAAACUGUCCCUCAUUCUUCUGUCCAACUCAUCAAUAUCCAUCUCCCACCACUCCCCUGCCACAACAGGAGAUCAACUCAGAAAUAAGCUCAACAUAACUUUGCUAUGUGCUACUCCCUCCAACCCAAAUUAUAGGUCAUUUUGUCUUUUAUAUAUAUAUAUAUAUAUAUAUAUAUAUAUAUAUAUAGCUUUUGUUGUACACGUAUGUCUAGAUACAUAGUAAAAACUAUGUAUCCACAACAGACAAAAUGAUUGACCUAUAAUUUGCCAUACACGUAUGUCCGGUGAUGGUGGUGCUUUUUGUUGACCGGCUAGUAGACCUUAUGGAGUGGCGGUUUGUGUGUUGUUUCUAAUGUAAGUUGUUGUGAAAGAUGCUAAGAGGUUGUUGCAGCUGCUGUUGCAGUUCUCUCUUUUUUUCCAUUUUUGUAUUCCCCAGUUUCGGUUUUAUUCUUCUUUUUAAUAUAAUCGGUAACUCUCCUUUUUAGCUUGUUUCAAAAAAAAAAAAGGAAUGGAGAGAGUACGUCUUAAACGAUCCAAAAGUCGAAUAAUUCACAAACCUAUAAUGAUGGGAACAUCCUUAUCAGGAUUGGGGAAUGGAUACGAGCUGGCCCCGUCUCUUGGCCGGAUGAUGAAGGCGCCAUGCAAGGUUGCCCGGAGGCAGGUAACGUGAGCAUGCCACCAGAGGGUUCCUUCUUGCCCGGUGACGUUGAACCGGUAGGUGAAGUUUUGGUUUCGGAGGAUGGAGCUUUGGGUGAUCAUCGGCACCCCAUCCGCCCAACAAUUCAGCUGCUGUUUCACCCCAUGCCUACAUUACAGACAACAGCUUCAAUAUAUAGGAGUUUGCCUGUUUUGGAAGUUGGGACAGAGGAAUUUGUUGAAUGAUAUAGGGGCCAGGUACUUAGCGAUUCUAUUACCAAUGGAUCGUUAUGUUGCGGGGUGACUUGUUGACGACAUGAACGACCACCGAGUCUCCUUCGGUAACCCCUCUAUCAUUGGCCCUGGAAAUUGCCUGUUCACCACAGUGACCAGCAUCUCCUAGCACAGAUGUGUCAUAUUCAUCUCGCUCACCUAAACAUAUAUAGAAGUUCGAACAAGUUGAAUCAAGCAUCCACGAUACAUUCUUGUUGCGAUGUGCAUUUCGUAAGACGAUUCUAACACUAGAAUAGAACUGUUUGCUUAGCGAGCGGAGGUUGGGCACGGACGGCACCUAGCUGCCGUCACCACCAAGCUCCCCUACCCUCUCCUAGCCACACCGCCGCCGGAAGCCCGUGCGGCGAUGUGGCCCUCCACCUUCCCCUUCUCUCCCCACUCAGCCCCAACACGGUCGUGUCUCCCUCCGCCAGUAGAGGUCAUCGCUGGCGUCGGAGGCCGGAUCCGUCCUCCUGGCUGCCGGAUCUGCCACGCCCCUCGCCGGAUCUGCCUACUUCGCCGGGGUUGGCAUCCUGUUCGCCGGAGCCGCCAUGGUCGCCAUGAAAGGAGCUUCGGCGAGCGAUGCACGGCGGCCGUAGGCCGCUAGCCCCCACCCGCUCCACUCGUCCGACCACUGCCGCUACUGUAGGUGCCCACCGGGCCAUGUCGGUGGCAGCCUCCUCUUCUCCCCUGGCAAACCCUAUGUCGCCUCCGUCAGUUUGCCCAUCGCCGACUGCCGCCAGUCUCCAUUUGGCUAGCUCGGUCACCGGAUCCGCCAUCUGGGGUCCUGAUCCGUGCGUCCCGAGCCGGGGGGCUUGCCGUCCAGGAGUGGUGGCAGUCCCUGGUCGCCGGUCACCAGAUGCUCUUCCCGGUGGCCGGCAUGGCGCAAGGUCGCUCCCCCUGCUCUUCCUCUGGAUCCACUGGCAACCAUCUUCACUGGCCACCGUCUUGUUGUGGCCUCCGGUAUAUAUGAAGUCUGCACAUUUUGUAGAUUCUAUAUCACGAAUAUUUCAUAACUUGUUUUUUCCCCACUAAAGUGCUUAAGAGAGGAACUUGGAAAUAAUCGAUGUGGCUACUACGUCUAUGAGCACUUGCACGCUUUUGUGAAAUCCAAGACCGCCAAGAUGACGCCGCACGAAUUUAAAGUACGUAAAAUAAAACUAUUAAUAGUUAAUUAUUUUCUACCUCAUAUUUAAUUGUUCGUGUAAAAUUCACAUGUUUCCAAAUUACAGAUAUAUAAUAUUCAACAAGGACUCAUUGGAUUUCUGAUGGACGAUGUGGUAAAUUCACAAUGAGAAUUUUAUUACGAUGACGAAAAUAAGACGCUCCGAGCAACACCUCGAUGGGAAGAUCAUUGUAGAUAUAGUUUGAUUUUUAUAUAAUAGACUAAGAUUUGUAUAUAUAUAGUGUGCUAUGAAUUGUAUAUAUAUAUACUAAGAAUUGUAUAUAUAGUAAUGGUAUAAAUACUUGUUUGAUUCGUUUAAAUACUAGUUUGAUUUUAUUAUUAAAAAAAGAUCAACUACUAAAAGUUAACUAAAGGGGUACGUAUGUCAUGCAUGAAAUUACAGGCGCCAUGCAGCUAACCAAAGGGGCGCGCGCCUGAAAUUUCAAGCAGGACUUUAGUCUUGGUUGGAAAAACCAGCCAGGACUAAAGGGUCCUAUCCCGCGCCUGGUGUGGCAGCUCCUUUAGUCCCGGUAUCAAGAUAAAAGGGGGUCUUUAGUCCCGGUUGAAUUCCCAUGACAAAAGACACCCCUUUUAUCUCGAUUGCUUUAUCCCGGAUGGUUUUUCAGGAGAUUUGCUCCCUACUGAGGACCAAUGGAUGGUCACCCUUGGAUGAUGAGUGAUUGAUAACGUUGUGUUGGAUUGAUGUGCUCUUGAAUUUGGGAUAGAGGCCUAAGAUUUUGAAAGAAAUAUUUGAGGCUCUUAUUCACCCCCCUCUGGUCGCCUUUCCGGUCCUUCACCUACCAACCGGGAUAAUAUGUGAGUUCUCCACCAGUGAUCAUAACUUAUGUGGAGAUGUACAUUAACUUUUUUAUGAUUAUUUUCAUUUGCAAGAUUCCAAAGCUAGAAAUAGAAUCCAGGUCAGUCAACGCAACAAACAAUUAACAUUAAAGGAAGAGACCAGUUUUGUGCUGUAGUACAGCGCACAGUAGCUAGAGUACAACCUAACCUACAAUAGAAUCUUGCAAAUUCUGAAAGGUCCACAUUUUGACGGUAGCAACUCGCACGCAACUGCAUCACACAGGUCGUUCUCCUCGAUCAAAAGCAACCAGUCAAGGCUGGCCCUGCGAUCAAAGCUACUAGUCGAUAGCGGUAGUCAUCUUGCUUGUCUGGCUUGCUUCCAGACAGUUGGACUGAUGACCGAGCGAUGGAUGGAGAGAUUUUCCAUGCCACAACCGAUCGUCUCGGUAGUACGCCUUCGUUGCGCCCGUUCCUCUCGUGUGGCUGGACUGCAUCCUCACGAGCCUGCGGACCAGGAGCGCCCUGCAUCUCCUUGUGCCGCCAGAGAUCGUUAAUCCCCUCUGCUUCUUCCCAAAAUCGCCGGCCUACCCAUUGCCUUCGGUUGCGGCCGGGCUCCCUUGCCCUCCGACGUGAGUUCUUGCGAGCGCCGGCCGCCAUCAUAUCGCGAGCUCGACCUGCCGCUGCAAUUUACACUGCUGUUGGCCAAAUUCGCGAGUUCAGUCUGCUGCAAUGAGCUUCAUCGGCCGCAAGCCCUCCUUGCACCCGCAAGGUCGGCCUGCCGCUGAAGCUUCCGCAAGGUCGGGUCAACUUGCUGUGUUUCGCUGUGCACAGCUGCCUUGUGAUUGUGCCGGACUUUCCAAUGCUCCAGCAGACUUUAAUUUUGAUCUUUUCAAUUAUAUAUAAAUUCGCAUAAUUACAAUGAGUUCGGGAUGGAAUAUAAAGUGACACGAUCAAUAUAUGAAAACAUAUCCACUAAGCACAACAAUCCCAUUGUGGCUUCCAUAUUACAAGAAUGGCCAAUGCCUAUGCUCUGACAGACUUCUGUUUGCCCGGCAAGUCCUUGAUUGAUGUAAAUUGACAACUUUUGUAUAAUGUAUUUUUUUCUAUAGCCAGGGACAGUGCUUUUUUUCCAAGGAAUGCAUGGGACAAUAUCGGCUUUCCAGUUGGCGGGUAUGUAGCCUAAGCAUCACGUCAGUACUUCACCAACCUAUGACGUAUCAAGCUCUGUCAACAUCAUUAAUUUAGCUAGAUUUAAUAAACGAAGUUGCCUCGCAAUAACCAUGUUUUGACUUUUGAGACCAUCAACCUAAAUCGUCCACAAUACUAAAGAAUGACUCGCGCCUAUAAACAGCCACGCCGCCGGAGCGAAUUGCAAAGCAAAUAACUUGUUAGCUGCUUCGUUCUUAAAGAAAAAUAAAGAAUGAUGCGCCUUGCAUCCGUGGCAGUACAAGUGCUGUGGUUUCUCCUUACUCCUUCCGUAGCAUUUUCCUAUCUAAUUCCAGUGCCGCCAUUGGUGGCAGCAGCCUCCGGUUCCAACAUAGCGCCACCACCACCGGAGGUAGCAGCUCCAAGGCCGGGCUGCCCUAGCAUGUGCGGCAAUGUAAGCAUUCCCUACCCAUUCGGCAUCGGGGACGAAUGUGCCUGGGGCUCGGACUUCGCCAUCACUUGCAACCAUAGCUUUAACCCUCCAAGACUAUAUACCUCUAACUACACAGACGACUUGUUGCCUUUCGAGGUCAUCAGCAUCUCGUUGGAGGCCGGCGAGAUGCGUGUCUUCUCCCCCGUGUCCUACAUCUGCUACAAUUCAUCCAGCACCAUUGCGUCCAACGGAAUCAUCAGCUGGGAAUUGAGCUUCGCCACAUUUCUUAUCUCGCCGACGCGCAACGUCUUUACAGGCAUCGGCUGCGACACGUGGGCGUAUCUAAACGGCAGAGAGGAUUUCAGCUUCUUCACUGGCUGCAUCACCACAUGCAAAAGCUUGCAUGCAGCGGCUCAAGACGACGAGGAGUGCACGGGACUUGGCUGCUGCCAGAGUUUCAUCCCGACCAACCUCUCCAGGAUAGACAUCGUCUGGGGGAACCAGGAAAGCUAUCGAAAUAUAGCGUGGGAAUACAGCCCCUGCAACUACGCUUUCAUCGGGGAGAAAGGCUGGUGAGCUAGCUAGCUGCGCUUAUCUACCGAGAUGAUGGCUUAUCUUAAUUACGAUACUGUGAUGAACUUGGAUAUUUUAUUAUUUAUUAUAAGGUACCACUUCAGUCGGAGUGAUCUCAUACGUGAUGCCAACAAGACCUUUGCUGAACGUGUUGGAAACAGAACCAUCCCCUUGGUGCUUGAUUGGUCCAUCAGGGAUGGCGUGUCUUGCCAGGCACCACCAAAGGAUGCUGGGGCGUCGGCUACAUCGACAGCUCCCGCUUGCAUCAGUAGAAACAGCUUCUGUGUUAACGCCACACAGGGACCUGGGUACCUCUGCAACUGUUCCAAGGGCUACAUGGGCAACCCCUACGUCACCGAUGGCUGCAUAAGUUAGUAAAUUUCAUUUACUCUUCGUAUAUAGUUUGUAUUCGUUUUGCAUAUGCAUGGCUUUUUUAACCAUUAAAGUAUAUGUUUGAGGGAUAGGAAAUGGUUUACUAGGAUUGUUGGAUCUCCGUCCAUUAUAUUGAAAGGCUUAGAUGCCUUGUAUAUUGCUCAGUGGCAUGCUUGGCGUGAUGACCUUGAGCCUUGCAGUCCAAGCAUACCGAUUGCUCGUGUCAUGCUCUGAUCGGUUUUAUCUCGGUGUCGUCCCUUGAGAGUACUGCAACCACGAGGUGUCAUGUUGCCAGCCCUUUAGAGUAUCAGUGUCAGGUUCUCAGGCCUUGAGCGUUUCAGUGUCAUGUUGCCAGGUUGUGAGCGCCGACCCUAGAAUCUUCAAGCUAGCUGAGAUAUGUAUAACCUUAUUAGGAUAUCGAUAGUAGGAAUCACGUACAUGGAGCGUGGAAAACGUUAGCAUUUCCUUCGUUACCGUAUAUAUAAAUUUCUUCCAGUUUCCGUUGUUUUCUUCUACACCCGCCCGUGCCAGUUUUCUUACAGCUGUGAAAGGAAUACGUGCUUACAUAGUCUAGUGAACUGGGGAAACAUAAAAUUCUUAGCCUAUAGCUUCCACAACUCUUCAUAAAAUAAACUAGAUCCUUCUAUCUAAAUAUACACAUAAAGUUCAUCUAGUGUACUUGCAGCCACCCAAUACAAGUUUUGCAACCUAGCUAGAGGUAAACCACGUAAGAUAUACUAUAUGAAUGUGAAGGCACAUAAGAUUGCAAGAAGUAAUCCCAAGAACUUAAGAAUGACCUAGGGGAUACAAACUCUUGGCACGUCGAUUUUACCUCAUGGUAUUGGUAGUCAAAUGCUACCCCUAGUCCACGUUGAACCACAACAAAGAAUAUACUCAUGGCCACCAAAUCUCUCCAGUAAAAAUUUUGGACUUGUCAUUCAGGUUUCUUCCAAGAUGGAUGAGGUGCUUGCCAUAAAAGGUAAGUCAAAAUUCUCUCUUCCAGUUGCAUUGUCAUUGUCUUCACUACAAAGCUACUCGUAAAGAAGGAGGCCUCAUCGUUAAUCGCACUGGGUGCCGCAACCACUCCACACCAUGCCAGAGGUUUGACGAACUUGCCGGUGAGCCAUAAGCCAAAAUGAUUCACCUCCUUGAACCAAGCAUUAGACAUCAAAACCUCCAAUUUCUCUCUCUAUAUAUAGGCAUAAUCUAGCACAAAACACACUCUAAACAUGUGCUAAUUGCCUUGAAUGAUCAACUUAUUAGCAUCUUGGUGACAUGGAUAUGCCUUUAGUGUAUCUUGGAAUACCUUAGAAUUCAGCACACUCUAGGGUAUGUGCAUCCACUUCAACCACAUAGCCAUUGGGAAACUUAAUACCCAAAGUUGUAGGCAGUUUCUCGUUAAGCUUGAUAUCUUCUGGUCAGUACUGUGUCAACUUUGCCAUGCCAACAUGCUCUUUGCACGAUGCUCCAGUCGUUAUAUACUCCAAUGUCUCCAUCUAGCCUUCGAGUCUUAGCCUCUUUCUUCACUCCAAACCGAGCCGAACUCAUUUAUUUCAUCCGUUGCCUUGAUUUCACUACCCGUGGGAUCAUACAAUCACCUGUUCUUCUCACACAGACCAUCUUUGAUAGCUCGGAUCAAUUUCUCUGGUCGGCCAUUCAAUCUUCAAGUCAUAACUUUGAAUCAGGACAAAAGUUUGCAAUUUGCACAUAUUUGUUCGGGCGAACUCCAGUCAAUGCUUCAAAGCACCUUUGAGUGCAAUGCCUUGAGAAAAUUCUAUCUCGUACAGGUGAAAAUAGUAAAUAAAUGCAUACUUGGUUUCUUUAUAUAUGCGGGCUAGGGUUUCGUUUAUCAACUAGGUGGAAAAAACAUUUUUUUAGAUUUUCAUGUAUUAUUACUUGAAGUUUAUGUGAAUGUCUUUUGCAUCUUAUUGUAUACAGAUAUCAACGAAUGUAGCAGUACAACGAAUGGUCCUUGUGGCAUGUAUAGCACAUGCGAGGAUACAGAUGGUGAUUAUAAUUGCAAAUGCAACUUUAACCGGAAAGGAGAUGGUAAAAGUGAAAAUGGAUGUUAUCAGUAUGUAUUUCCACCAUAUGCUAUUGCUGCCGCAGGUGAGGCUCAGCACGCUCCUCUCUACCUCUUCUGAAUCACACGUUUGCGUCCACUUUCGUAAGGGUUUAGUAAAAAAACACUAAAGUACAUUUAACCUUUAUUUUUCGGAAUAUAUAAUCAGUUACUCUUAAAUCAGUACAAUAUAUCAAAACCUCUUUGAAAUAUACAUAUAUUAUUAGCAUAAUGAUAGGAUCACUGCUAGCUGAUUAACCAUUUCUGUUUGUUGCAAAUGUCAGUUGUCAUACAACUUAAUACUAUUUUUAUAAUAACAAACUUCUUCUUUUUUAAGCUUAACAAACUUUUACUUAAAGUGCAGAUAUGGAGUUGCCGUAACCUAUAUGUUUCUGAAUCACACAACAUGUAUCCUUAUUGUUUGCAGCAAUAACUCUUGUCGUCAUCAUAGCAUGUUUGUCAAUUAUUUUGCUUAUGAGACGAAAGCAGAAGAAACUUUUCAACAAAAACGGUGGCGACAUUCUAAAGGAUGUGGGUAUCAAAAUCUUCACCAAAGGGGAGGUGAAGACUAUCACAAAGAGCUACAGAAAUCGCAUUGGAGGAGGCUACUUUGGCGAUGUCUAUGAGGGGACCAUCAUCGACGAUCCCGGACAAGCACUACAGGUCGCGGUUAAAUGCACUGUGGCGAAAAAGGUGGCACGCCUUCGGCAGAAGUCGCUGCGACGUGAGGCGCCGCAGCACGAGCAGGAGAAGCUAUGGAAGGAAGGGUUCGUGAGGGAGAUCAGCUUCCAAUUCAAGGUUGAGCACCCAAACAUGGUCCGCCUCAUCGGGUGUUGUCUCGAAACGGAUGUCCCCAUACUAGUCUUUGAGUUUGUCGGUAAAGGAAGCCUCCAUGAAGUGCUUCAUAAUGGUGCCAACAAGCUCACUCUCUCUCUGCCAAAGCGGCUGGACAUUGCCAUUGGUUCAGCAAAAGCUCUCUCCCAUAUGCACUCGCAUAAACACGUCCAUGGCGACGUCAAGUCCGCCAACAUCCUCCUUGACGACGACCUCAAUCCCAAGGUAUCUGACUUUGGGUCUUCCAAGCUCCUUUCGGUCAAGAAUUAUGCUAUGGACGUAGCUGCAGAUGGGAACUACGUAGAUCCAGUGUACCACACCACGGGACAUUUCACGGUGAAGAGUGAUGUCUACAGCUUUGGUGUCGUGCUCCUUGAGCUCAUCACGAGGAAGAAGCCUAGGUAUGGCAGCGGCGAUGCUAACAUUCUGACCAUAGACUUCAAGAAGUCCAUCAAGAACCACAGCAAUGCACGGGAGAUGUAUGACGCAGAGGUCUUAUCCGAUGACAAUGCUCAAUCUCAUCGCUACAUGGAGUGCCUGGACAUGGUCGGUGCGCUCGCGGUCCGAUGCCUGAUCAGUGAAGACGCGGAUGAGAGACCAACCAUGGCAGAGGUGGUGGAUGAGCUUAAUCAAGUAAAGUCGAUAGCCUGCGGGAUCGGAGCUCAUGCUCUGACCUGAGUUGAAAGCACGCAUAUGAAGGAAACAAAUUAAGCACGAAUGGCUUGAGCUUAUUAGCAAUCUCUAUAUCCCGUAUCCACCAUUACUUAUAAUUGUCAAGUUGAAUGUAAUAUAUAGCUAUGCAUCGGACGUACAUACGAUCUGAGUAAUUUUAUUUUCCUGCGUUUGUUUUAAUAAGGCUGCUUAUUAUUAAGCUGCAUGUAAUUGUGUACUGGUUUCAGGGAACUUUGUAUGUCUACUAUGCGGGCUGAUGCUUCCUCAAAGAAAGAUAUAAAUUCUGUUAAAAUAAACAUGAAUAUUACUUGGAGGAUGUGCAGCCAUUCAAAACAUGUACUACCAUCACUACUGGAAACAGUAGCUUUGCUGAGUGCCCCGGGCACUCAGCGAAGCCCCAAAAGUAAACACUCGGCAAAUGUCACUCGGCUUCGAUUUUAUCGGCAAAUAGUUCUUUACUGAGUGGUUUUUCUCGGGCACUUGGCAAAGAUUUUGCUGAGUGCUAAACCAGCUCUCGGUGAAAAAAAGUGGGCACUCGGCAAAGAUGCCUCUUUGCGCUGCAACAUAGAUUGAAAAAAAAUAAAAGGUUCUUCCUCAUUGUAAAUCCUUUUAUUCAAGUUUGUUCAGAACGUGGGCAAACUUUGUUCUGAAACAACCUAGCAAGCAAAUCUGUUUACUACAACUGAACCAUAAGGUUCUGAAGGUCUUUCAUCAAAGGUUGAAAAUACUGUUUGGGCAACUUUGCUCGUAUCAAAUUCAAACUUAACUAAAAAGUCAUUUUUCAGGAAAGCAAGGAAUAUUUCCAAUAUAACAUCAUUCCCAAGAGACCCCGGUAAGAAUGAACCGAACAAAAGCUCCAACAACAUGGCCAGACAUGUGUUCAUCAUUCAUGAUCAGGACGAAUUUUAAAACAACCACAAUUGAGCAUGACAACUUACUGCUUGCUCAGGACUUAUCGGUUCAGACAGGAGCUAAUCCAUACUGAUCAACCACAUACUGAACACAAAAGUGCAUAGCACCACAUACUGAACCAAAAGCUCCAUUGCAAGGGAGAUAAUCUGUACCAGCUAAUAUCCCAAAUAGACUUGGCAGUACAAAAUUACCUCUGAGUGCUAAAUUCAGUUGAAUAGUAAAGGAGCAUAUAUUGUUCAAAACAAGAACCAAGUACAAGUACAUUCUAAUUUCAGUGUAUGCCAACUGUGAUUGACCUAUUACAGUUCAUGAUACACAAUCACUUCCAGAAAUUUAAGUCAGAAACGAAAAGAAAAACAGGGAUCUAUUUUAUAGGCUAUCGGUCAACUUGUCAUCUAUCAUAAAAUAAUAUACCUGAAGAAACAGAAAUAGAAUUGCAGAUCCUUCCACCCACCGCUUCAACUUCUCAUCAUAUCAAAACUUGUUCUGGUACUCUUAUGUUGCCUUCAAAACAUAAAUAAGAUCUUAAGGUUAGUGUUGAAUACAGUAAUAACCUUUGGAGCUCCAACAUUUCUAUAGCUAGUUUGGUAAGGCUAGCAAGUGAAAGAAAGGUGCUACUGAUUUAAAUGCAAGUGUAGAUAUAUCUAUGGUACUAAACUUCAUGCAAGAAGUACUACAUCAAGCCGCGGCAAAAGGGGGGAGACUCAUUGGUACCGGUACCGGUACAUUGUUGCACACCGUGGUACAAGAGGGGCGACUUAAAGCUUAUCACCAUGGAGAAGAUCUGGCAGUGCACAGGGAGGCUGCUGGUCCUUGAGCGGGGCAAGCUGCUCAAGGACUUGUGCCUCUCUAUGGCACUCUCCAAGAUGCUCAACCGAAGGUUUGUUGGCUUCAGGCUAUCAGAGGCGGGGCAUGAGAAAGCCCAUGACUUUGUGUUCAAAGGCCUGCUCGCCGGGGACAAGCCAUAUCAGAGGGCCUUCAGGGUCAUCGAGGAAGAGCUUGUUUUGGUCCAUGGCUCCUAUUACACAAGGUAUUCUUACCUCUACCAAAAGGGUCGAUACAUUGCCCUCUCGCUGCCCAUCGUCAUGCUUGCCUUAUGCUCGUGGCUCACCUAUCUGCUCGUCAAGCACUACGAGAGUCGCUCUGUGCAGGCUGCCACGCCAUAUUUGUAACUGUUUUCGUGGCAUUCUUGGAGGCAUACCAGCUCUACCUGUACAUAUUCUCAGGUUGGUUCAAGGUGGCACUAAUACAGAGCUACAUAAACACACCAUUUUUGCGAAGAAGCACUACCGGAAACCGAGCUAAUGCCGAGUGUUUUUCCAUUUGCCGAGUGUUUUUAGGCCUUCGCCGAGUGCCCCUGGCACUUGGCAUCUCCCCUGUUUCCCGUAGUGAAGCCGUUGCCUUGAGAUGAUCAUAGGCCUUCUUUUGAGGUUGAAGGCGUUUGCACCAUGGAAACGCAAUCUUGGGCAGUACUGUAUCCUCCAGGAGGUUGACCGCAAGCAUAGGGUUAGGAAUUGUCUCCGUUAUGCUACGCUGCGCCUGCUGGACAAGGCUAGCAAGAAUGGACUUAAGAAAUCAGAAAAGGUGUCCGAAAAUGUGAAGAAAGCCAUCAUUGAUUCCCUAUUAGGAAGCAACGGCAACCUGACGAAUGGGGUAACAUCGCUGCAAAACAAUGGCGUCAAUUGUCUCUCAUGGGCAUGUGAUGCUACUGCUACUGACGGAGCGGUGGCUCGCACCAUUGUGGUCUAGCACAUUACUACAACCCUGUGCGAGCAGAAGCUGGAUAAACAAGCCAAAGAAGAAGACGCUGUCAAAACAGCCUCCACUUUAUCCAAGUACUGCAUGCACCUCCUUGCGUCUGCACCUAACCUCUUGCCCGACCACAGCUCUAUAUCGGAAUCCAUACUUGAUCAGUCAAUCGACGAAGCAGGCAAGUUACUCAAAGAGGCCAAGGAAAACAAGAUCGAGGGAAAGAACAAGAAGAUCAAGGGAAAGAACAAGAAGAUCGAGGGCAGGUGUGAGAUACUAAUGCAAAUUCGCACUGAUGAUGAUUGUGUUGGUGAUGAAACAAGGCUCGUUGCGCAAGGCGUUCACCUUGCAAAGCAACUGAUUGAUAACAUAGAAGACUUCACAACACGGUGUAAGGUGCUAUCUGAUUUCUGGGCGGAGAUGAUGCUUUAUGUCUCGCCAUCCGAAGAUGCUUGGGAGCACCUGGAAGUUCUUGCAAAAGGAGGGGAGUUCAUCACGCACCUUUGGGCGCUGCUCACGCAUGCCGGUGUGUUGAAGCGAGGACCUACAGAGCCAAAGGAUGUUGUGUGAUCUGUCCAACUAGUGCACAAGUAACUGUCCAUAUAUCAACAUAGUGCUUGUAAGUUGUAACUGUUAGUAAUCCUAGCGCAUGAGUCGGUCGGUUAGUUAGCUUUGCAUGUUUCUGUUACUGCUUUGCAUGCGCACGAGCACCAACCUGUGGCUGCCGUGCGUGUCGGACGGGGUGGCGAGAUUAGCUCGCACACGACCCUAGCGUGUGAUCCGCGACGCCGGCAGGUCCGGCAACUGGCCGCAACUCACGAAGGCCAACUACGAUUCAUGGUCGUUGUUGAUGAAGUUGAAGCUACAAGCGCGUUGCUUGUGGGACAUCGUCGAGAUAGGUGAUGCUGAGUUCCACAACGAUCGAACCACGGUGGAUGCAAUCUGCUCUGGCGUAUCCCCAGAUAUAGUGCCCACCGUGGCGACCAAGCCGUCAACCAAGGAGGCGUGGGAGGCGAUCUGUUACAUGCGCAUUGGUGACGAGCGUGUGAGGAAGUCGACGGCGCAGAGUCUCCACACUGAGUACGAGCAGGUCACGUUCCGAGUCCGUCAAGGACUUCACCCUGCGCCUCUCUAACAUCGUGCAACGGCUAGCCAUCAUCGGCGACCCGGAGCCGGAAUCGAAGGUGGUGGCCAAGUAUCUCUAUGUCGCUCGACCAAGGUAUAAGCAGCUUGUGAUUUCCAUUGAAACCCUCCUCAACAUCGAUAAGCUCACCGUUGAGGAGGUCACUGGGCGUCUCAAAGCAGCAACUGACGCUGAACCAUCACUGGCCCAGGACGUCGUUGGCAAGCUACUGCUCACGGAGGAGCAGUGGCUGGAAUGCUACAAGAAGUGGGACAAGGACUCCGGCCGCGGCGGAUAUAGCACCGACGGCCGCGUUAAACAUCAGGGAAGAAGCCGCGGUCGUGGCACCAGCAGCGGCAGUGAUUCACGGACCAACACAAACUCGGGCUUCUCCAACCCCGACGACAUGUGCAAAGCCUGCAGGAAGAAAGGCCAUUGGGACAAGGAUUGCCGAAGCAUGAAAAAGCUGGAACAGGCCCAUGUGGCCCUGGAUGACGAGCCCACUCUACUCCUUGUGGUGGGGAAAGAGCAGGAGGAGGGGAUUUAUCCCCAAAUCGAGCCGCCGCCACUGGAGAUGAAGACGGCAAACCUGCCGCCGAUUUUCCGCAACCGGCAGCUCCACUUCACCGAGAGCAAGGUGUUCGCCGCCUUCGACGAAUCCGGUGACCGGGGACCGAAGCGAUGGGUCCUGGACACGGGCGCGUCGAAUCACAUGUCUGGGACGCGGGCGACAUUCUCCAACCUUGACGCCGGCGUCACCGGCUCCGUUCGGUUCGGGGACGACUCCAUCACCUGCAUCAAGGCGAUCGACACCGUCAUGCUGUCCUGCAAGAAUGGCGAGCACCGCGCCAGCGCCAACGUCUACUACCUACCCCACCUCACCGCCAACAUCAUCUCCGUUGGCUAGCUUGACGAGCUUGGGUACCAAGUACUAGUAGAAGAUGGAGUGAUACGGGUUCGUGAGGAGGAGCGGCAUCUCCUUGCCAAGAUUCACCGCAACCCAGGCCGGCUCUACGUGCUCGACGUCGGCAUCGCACGGCCGGUUUGCCUGGCGGCGCUAGGCAACGGGGAAGCCUGGGUAUGGCAUGCCCGCUUCGGCCACCUUCACUUUGCCGUGCUGCGCAAGAUGGGCAGGAAUGGCCUUGUCCGUGGCCUACCCCUGCUCACCCAGGUGGAGUAGGCGUGCGAAGCCUGCCUAGCCGGCAAGAACCGGCGGUCUCCAUUCCUGCAGCGUGCCCUUGGGCACUCAUUGGAGGCGUUGCAGCUGCUCCACGGCAACCUCUGCGGACCUAUCAUGCUGUCGACACUGAGCGGAAACCAAUACUUCCUUCUACUCGUGCAUGACUACUCCCGGUAUAUGUGGUUGUCUUUGCUCCCCAGCAAGGAUGCUGCACCCGCAAUGAUCAAGCGCAUCCAGGCAGCCGUGGAAUGCAAGUCAGGGAAGCUGGUUCAUGCACUCCACACGGAUAGAGGAGGAGACGGAAAGACUUUGAGCAGUACUGCACCGAGUUGGGACUCCACCAUGAACUGACGAUGCCGUACUCCCCUCAACAAAAUGGCAUCAUCAAGCGCUGCAACCAAUCCGUGGUCAGUACCGCUCGGAGCAUCCUGAAGGCAAAGGGGCUUCCGGGCAAGUUCUGGGGCGAGGUGGUCACCACGGCCGUCUAUCUGCUCAACCGAUCCUCAUCCAAGAGCGUGGGCGGCAAGACCCCCUUUGAGCUCUGGACCGGCAGCGUCCUUGGAGUUCAACACCUGCACACAUUCGGCUACAUCGCACACAUGAAGGUAACAAAGCCAAACUUGAAGAAGCUCGAUGACAGGAGUAGGCGCACCAUCUUCGUUGGCUAUGAACCUGGCUCCAAGGCAUAUCGGGUGUAUGACCUGGUGACCCGGCGCAUGCACAUCAGCCACGACCUGGUGUUCGAGGAGGCAGCGCAGUGGCUCUGGACUCAGGGGCAGCGCAGCGAGGUGGAAGACUUUGCUGUUGGACAUUUGCCACUGCCUGGAUCGACCAGCACGACAACGACAGCAAGCAUGACUUCAUCGGCCGGAGCUGCUGAUACACCUUCAGCCUCGCCGGCGUCAUCAGCCCACACUUCACCGGCGCAUGACGUCUGGAGCAUCAUCAACUCACACCUCACUGGUGCAAGUGUCACACCCGAUUUUAAGGACAAAACCGAGUGCUUUCAAUACAUGUGCGCCAGGAUCAAGUUACACACAUGUAUGACAAUAGUGAAUAACAAAGACAGUGCUAAAGCAAAUAGAGGGGGUAUUAAACAUAUUUACAUGAUCGAAAGUCUCAAUAAAACACAAGCCUAAAUUAUUACGCAGCGAAACUCCAAAGAUGACAACGACACCACAGGCAGCUGACUGAAGAACCGUACGCCUAGAACUCCUCAAAGUCGUGCAAGUACUCCGCCAGAUUAGCCUUGUCUGAACAAUGGUUUUCGAAGGAUGAGUACACUUAUGGUUGGUACUCAACAAGUCCUGGGGAAUAGUGUAGUGUAAGGCAAAUCAAAGUAUGGCUAAUGCUUAAUUAGCAUCAGGUUUUAAUUAAGUUGGUCAAGUUUUAUUAGCAAUUAACUAAGUAUAAGUUUAUACCACUCAAAAUUAAACAUGAGCAUAAAUAAAGUAAAUAACAUAUGCAUGCAAUGACAACAAUUUAAGUCCAUCUUUCAAUAGUGUUAUCAUGUGAGGGUCCAGGCUGCUCUUCACUGUGAGCACGGCUGAUCGAUUAGUUUUACACUUUGCAGAGGUGGCACAUCUUUACCCACGAGUCGCGUAAAAGUUCAAAAGAAAUUUGGACCCAACCAUGCGGUGUUUGCAAGGCACCAGACCACACUUCCGAGGUGUGAUUGCAUAGGGACGCUACGAGGCCUUUACAAAGAUCCACUAGCAAUGUGGUAACCGCUAAGGUUUCAAGUCGAAGCAGAACAUAGCAGUCCCAUAGUGGGUAUAGUGUCUUAGCAAAGCCCACUUCCCCCGAGAGCGAGUGCUAUAUCCCAUCAACGCCUCCCCUCUUGCCCUUUUGGUAAGAUUACCCUAGUCUAGAGUUUCUAAUUAUUCAGCCAAGAUCAGAGCCAUUUAGUCUUGUGGUAGUACUGUUUUCCUGGGUGGUCGCUCCAUGUUUCGAUUAAACAUUGGUGAUCUUGUAUUAAUGAAAGGUAUAACAGAAGUAAAGCAAGAUUAAACAUUGAGUUUAGUUAAACCACCCUAUACCAAGUAAGCACUAAGCAUGAGCUACCCAAGAUAAAAGUAAAGCUGGUUGGUCAAGGCAAAGGUAGUUUCAAUCUAGGCGAACCUUAAUUGGGACCCAUCAAUUUAAUCUUAACAUGUGCAUAGUAUAAUAGUUGAGUACAAGAAAGUAGAGGUGUAUAAGACUGAAAAGUAGUGAUUAAGGACACGACUUGCCUUCUUGGCUUUGCUCCUGCUGUUCGUACUCCUCGAAGGCUUGGUCUUCAAAUCCCUCGAACUGUUGAACGUCUAAACGCGUCACACGAGCACAUACAAGCAAACAUGGGAAAAAAGUAAGAAACAGUACACCAAUCAUAUUUAAACAGAGAAAACAAGCUUGUAAAAUUGAUCUACGCUUUAAAACAAACACAUGGAUAUAAAGAACGCGAAAAACGGAGUUAAGAUGCAAAAGAUAUGAUUAAAACAAAAUCCAGGGGCUUUUCUGCGAGAGAAACAAAACUUCUAGGGUCAAACUGCGAAAAACCGAGGACCUAUACGUAAUUACGCGUAUAGACUGAAGGUUUAACACACAAAAACUCCAAAACGGAUGGCGGGUUGAUUUUUAGAAAACUCAGGGCUUAAACCAAAAAAUGCGAGGGCAGAUCUGUAAAUAUUUUCAAUGCGAUCUGGACCGUGGGUUGAUUUGCGGAAAAGGUGAGGGCUUAAGUGAAAAAGAAUAGCGGCGCGGCGCGGUUGACUAGUACGCGAUCCGGUUGUCUUGCUGCCGGCCGUCGGAUCUGGAUCCGACGGUCACGGUCGCCGACGGUAGCGCGGCGGUGGCAGAAAAAGCGGCACGCAGCAGCGAGCGGUGGCGGGGUCGUCGGAGUUGGCCGAAACGGCGCGUCCGUGGGCGGUUUGGCCCGUGGAGACCCCCAAAAGCAAGAGGAAAAUGCCACGAACUCGUUUGAGUUGAUGGGGAGGUUCGGGGGCGUGGCGGAGCUCACCUUUGGUGGGUAUUUGCGGCGGCGCAGGGGGAGAGCUCGGGCAGCUUGCGCUAGCUAUGGUUUGGAGGGCGAGGGCUGGGUGCUUGAGGCCGGGGAAGGGCGGCAGCUUAAAUAGGGACGGAUGGCAGCGGGAUAAGGGUAGGGGCGGAUCCCGCAUGGAGAAAGGACGCGGCGGUUGUGGGAGGUGGGUGGAGUCUGGCGCGGUCGGGGGAGGAAGUCCCGGCCGGAUACGGCCGGAGGACAGGGAUGAUGGGUGGGCCGUCAGACCGGCGAAAGGGAGCGGGCCGGCGCUGCUUUGCAGGCCGCGGAGGAAAGGAGAGGUGGGCCGAGUGGGGAGGGAGGCUGGGCCGGAGGGAAAAGCGGAGCGGGCCGGAGGAGCUGGUGGCGCUGGGCUGCUGGAAGAGAAGGAGGCGCUGGGCCAAAAGAAAGGCGGAGGAGAAGAAUGCGACCGAGGAGGAAAAAGAGAAAAGGGAAAAAAGGAAUGGUUUUGAAAAUUGAAAUUGAAUUUGAAAUUCAAGUUUGAUUCAAACACAAGCAAUCAAAACAAAUGCCCUAAUGCACAAAUAAACUCCUAGGGUGAAUUAAUUUAAUUUGGAGAAAAUGAAAAUUAAUAUGCCUAAGAAUUUAAAGGACAUCCUAAUUGAGCAAAUUUUAGUGAAUUUGAAUUCUUUUAAAAAUUUGGGUGUUACAGCAAGGCACUGGGAGCGCGACGCUGGGCACACCCCCACUGCAGGAUGCAGACUCAGUGGAGUUCGUGUCAACACUAGGUGCCGGCGUGUCGCAGCUGCUGGAUGCGGAACACAAUGACGACGCCCCACUCCGGUACCGCGACAUUGAUAAUGUGCUCUGGCCAGCCACGCCGCUAGGUUUCGCUGCGCGGGAACUGGAGGAGCAGCUGUUGUUGGCAUGCAAGGCCGAACCGGCAUGGUUCAAGGAGGCGAUGGAACAUGAGAACUGGCACCAUGCCAUGCUCGACGAGUUCACCUCUAUUGAGGUGAAUGACACUUGGAGGCUUGUUGAUCUACCACCAGGGGUGCGUCCGAGUCAAGUGGGUUUACAAGACGAAGCAGGAUGAAGCUGGGCUCAUCACAAAGUUCAAAGCCCGGCUCGUCACCAAGAGGUACGUGCAGCGCCAGGGGAUCUACUUCGAUGAAGUAUUCGUCCCGGUGGCACGCCUGGAGUCCGUGAGGCUGCUUCUAGCGCUCGCUGCAAGCAAAGGGUGGGCUGUCCACCAUAUGGACGUCAAGUCCACUUUUCUGAAUGGUGCACUCCUGGAGGAUGUGUACGUCAAGCAGCUGCCGGGGUUCAUGUUGAAGGGCCAAGAAACGAAGGUGCUCCACCUGAUCAAGGCUCUCUACGGACUCCGUCAAGCCCCACGACCAUGGUACUCCAAGCUCGACUAGUCCCUGAUCAAGCUCGGGUUCCGGCACAGCACGUUGGAGCAUGCUAUCUAACUCCGCGAGGUGGGUGCAUGCCGCCUCAUUGUAGGCGUCUAUGUGGACGAUCUGGUUAUCACCGGAGGGAAUCCACGGACAUCAGCACCUUCGAGAAGGUGAUGAAGGCAACAUUCAAGAUGAGCGAUCUUGGGCUUCUGCGCUACUAUCUCGGGCUGGAAGUGACGCAGAUGGGGAACGGCAUCUCAGUUUGUCAGAGUGCCUAUGAAACAAUGUUCAUAAUUCAUAAUAAUACUUUCUUUAUUUAAGAACUCAUAUGCAUGGUAGAAUUUAUCUUUCAGACUUCGUUGAUGCAGGCAAACUCUGUUUCUGUAGUUUUGUGGUAGAGUUCAUUUGGCACAACAUGAUGGCCAUGGUUACAUGCCAAAAGCUCUAAUGGUGGUGGUGGGAGAGAUGUUUCCACUGUCGGCCCAUCCUCUACGAUGAAUAUCGCCGCCAUGCCCAUCGAUAAAUGGAACUCAUAGUGGCAAUGCAUGAACCAUACUCCUGUACAAAUACAAGGAAAAUUUAUCAUGCUGUGAGUGAGACCUAACCUUCACAUGCAUAAGACCAUGUCACAUGUACUACUAGACAUGGAAAUCCUAUACGCACCUGGAUUGUCUGCCACAAACCGGAUGGCAGCCCAGCCGAUCCUCGGGACGACCACGGAAUUCCUCACUGGCGGAUCAACCAGGUUGUACUUGGCCACAUCCCUCGCCGCGUCAUAGUUACCGACACCCUGCGCAAGCACAAACAUGUUGUGACCAUGCAGGUGCAUCGGGUUGGAGGCGCUCUGCAUCACCGCCGUGCCCUGGAACACGAUAUCCACCACAGCACCAUGCCGAAAGCGCCGCACCAAGCUACCCCUUGACGUAGGUUCUAGCUGCCCCUCCUUUGGCCCCCAUGGAAUCAAGCCCCGGUCGGUGAAGUUGAACACCAUCGGCGGCCUAUCGGGAAGCUCUUGCAGCACGUCCAUGCCGCCGGUGUGGUAGUAGUGCGCUUCUAGCAGUGGCAUGUUCGUGUCAGGGAGCUGAAAUGAGACGUUGUUCAUGGUCGCGACAAUGAUGGCCUCGUUACUCCCACUUCUCUUGCAGGUCUCGCCUCGCCGGCAGAUAGAGCCCAGGCCAACGGUAAUGAACAGGGACUCAUCGGCACGCUCCGGCACCAGCGGCUGUUGUGUGUCAUUCAAGCUGGUCAAGUUACCAUGGAAGUAGAAGGUGGCCAUCGUGUCAUGCUGGUCGGGCAUCUCAGGUGCCACUGGAGGUGCGGUGCCAUUGCUGGAGACGUGCCUGGUGCUGUACCACACAGUGCCUCUUGUGACGAACUUUGGCAUCUGGUGGUCGGGCUUUGGCGAUUGGUUGG
rnacentral:lncRNA from 1 species